rnacentral:rRNA from 1 species
AUUGAACGCUGGCGGCAUGCUUUACACAUGCAAGUCGAACGGCAGCGCGGGCUUCGGCCUGGCGGCGAGUGGCGAACGGGUGAGUAAUGCAUUGGAACGUGCCCAGUAGUGGGGGAUAGCCCGGCGAAAGCCGGAUUAAUACCGCAUACGACCUGAGGGUGAAAGCGGGGGACCGAAAGGCCUCGCGCUAUUGGAGCGGCCGAUGUCGGAUUAGCUAGUUGGUGGGGUAAAGGCUUACCAAGGCGACGAUCCGUAGCUGGUCUGAGAGGACGACCAGCCACACUGGGACUGAGACACGGCCCAGACUCCUACGGGAGGCAGCAGUGGGGAAUUUUGGACAAAGGGGGCAACCCUGAUCCAGCCAUGCCGCGUGCGGGAAGAAGGCCUUCGGGUUGUAAACCGCUUUUGUUCGGGAAGAAAUCCUCUGGGCUAAUACCCCGGGGGGAUGACGGUACCGGAAGAAUAAGCACCGGCUAACUACGUG